ensembl:lncRNA
UUCUGAUUCAAACUGGUGUUUAUUUGCAGUACAUGUACAAUUGGUAUCAUAGGAUCCCAGCGCAUUCUUUGUAGUAGUGCACUUCUCAGCGUCUGUAUGCCGUUUAGUGCACACAGACCUAGCAGUUUAUAACUAACUGUUGGGCUGGCAUUGCUAGCAAAUAUUACAUACCAGCACCACAUCUUAACACGUUGGUAAUUCAUGAUAUUUUGCAGAUGCUUUUAAAUGGGACUUACCAGGAUGAUCAAAAUCCAGUGGCUAAACAUAACAACUUGCAAACAUCAGCCACAGAUUUUCAUUUUUGGUAAGAUGGAUUAUGUAACAUUGACAAUAUAAGCCAAAGAAAAAAAAAAAAAAAAAAGAUUAAAAACAUGAAUUUAUUUGACAGUACCAAACAUGUCUCUACCUCUGGGUACAUAAAACUAAUAAGUCUAGAUCUAUUGAUUACAACGAGCAUGACAGCAGUGGGUAUUGCACAUGAACUGUAAAAAAUGAGUACAAAGUAAAAUUAAACAAAAAAGAUCAAAUUUACAUUUCAAUUCGUUGACCUCUAGGUGAAGUAUACAUAAUGUACAAAACUAUACGUUGCCUACUAUUGACAAUAGUUCACUUUAGAAAUAAAUAAAUAAUGAAAUCCGUAUUAACAUCCAUCUUACGGGCAGCUACGUCGCCAAAAAAAAAAAAAAAAAAAAAAACACACUGUAGAAAUUUAGAGUGAGGUAGUUCAUCAAAGCCUACUUUGAUUUGGAUUCUAACAUUUUUGAGAGAUGAGAUAAAAGCAAAUGCGAUGAAAAAUCUAAAGUUAAAUUCCAUUAACUUUCCUAAAGAGAGGAAAAGAAAAAUUAAGAGCACUUAACAAACACGGAUAAAACUGAAUGUCUGGGAUGCAACUCAAAUGAAAGAAUAUGUACGCCAAUAGUUACGCAAACUCAAACCUUCGGUUCCUACACCUCCCAGCUAUCCCGCAUGUACAUUCCAUAGCACUGCCUCAUGGGAAAUGUAGUUCCCACCUACACCAUUCGAUGCAAUAUCUUGCAUAUUUCCAUAAACAAAAUAAAGCUGCAAACCAUAUACACAUACCAAAAAUGUUCCAAUUUGCUAUUACUUUGAUGAAAGACCUUGCUUGAGGGUACGUCCCUUUACAGAUCAUCUUCUCAACAUGCCCCGACCCUUCAAUCGACAUCAUACAUCCAAUGCACUACAAAAAUAGACACUCCAACAUGACUCAGGCACUUUCUCCACUUUGAAAGCUAAAUAAAAACUGUAAUUUAACCCAAUGAUGAAUGGCAUUUCCAAAUUUAGCGAUGGAUUUAGUUCAUAAGGAGGAGCAGAGUUUACACUACAUACACUAGUACUGUAAACACAUAAUUACAUUCCAAAACACAUUUUUCUAAACAUCAGAAUAAAUCUGAUACUGAUGGGCUAUUUUUUAGCGUUAGACAGGCAUUAAAAAGCAGUCGUUGCAUUUUGGACCUCCAAUCUAAUACGUCUUUAUUCAUUUAGCACGAUUGCUCCAUCCAAAAUGACGCUAUUAAAAAUCACCCCCGGAAGCAGUUUUUUAUUUGUCAUCGUGUAAUGAAUAAGAUCUCAUUGGCAGAUGCAGUUUGUUAGUAAAUUCAAAAGUACUUGUACAAAGAGUACAAAACCCUGUUUACACCUGAUAUUAAGAUGCGUUUUCGCCAAUCUAAUCACAAGCAGACGUCGCUAAAUACAUGCGUGAAAGGGGUGUUAAAUGUCUCGAGCUUGUCCACUUUUGAGCACUUCCAGAGGUAGUCGAAAACAUCCACUAAAGACCGCCGGCUCUCCGCUGACUGGGCUCAUUCUUAAACAUUACGAAGUUCAUUUCCUAUCCGUUACCCGGCAACAUCAGAAUAUUAAAUUAGAUUUAAAUUCCGUUACAAUGGAUAAGUGUAUGUGACCCUUUAAAAAUAGCCUAAAUGUUUUUCUUUUUUCAGCUUUUUUCAGUUUUGCAUGCGCAUAAACAACAGAAGAAAAAAGAAUAAAAUGACAUAUGAUAGGAAUAAUAAUUAGAGAUCGACCGAUAUAUCGAUUUACCAAUAUUUUCCCCGAUAUUUAAGCAUUUUCCAUAAUCGGAUAUCGGUUUUGUAAUAUCGGAUUCAUCAACAUACAGAACUACCACAUUUUGCUAUAAGUUUGAUUGCAUAAUUGCUGUUAAUAGUGUUAAUCGUCUGUUUGUUUAUGUCUUUUAUUGAUUUUUCUGAACAUUUCUGCCGUAUGCACAUAAACUGAAGUCAUCACUGAUAAGCUACUACUAAAUAUUGUAUAAACUUAAUUUUCUGUAAAGUUGCUUUGCAAUGAUUUGUAUCGUAAAAAGCGCUAUACAAAUAAACUUGAAUUGAAUUCACCGAUACACAGGAUCGCCAUUACAGCGCGUCUGAGGGGAGACUAGACAACAAAAACCGCAUCCAGGUACCUGAUUUGCUGUAGUUAGUCAACUUUAUUAAACAUAUUUAUGAACAAAUUAGAUGCAUUAAAAUAAAUGCUUGAUAUGUAGUUUAUGCAGCUUGGCUCUAAGAAAUAGAGAUCAACUCACGGAGGCAUGUAAAAUAAUCCUUCAAGUCCUGUCCCAAUAAAGACGUAACUUUGCCUGAAUUAAAUAACAUGCAGCCAGUAAUGAGCACAUGUUGUAAAUAAAAGCGCUGAAUUGAAUUCUCUCUCUGUUGUAUAUUUGCUCAUCAUAGUCUCGUGAAGCCGCUUUCAUAUUGCCGUUCACGGAAAUAUUCCAGCACGGCCACCGCAUGUAACUUUUAACAAGAUUCACUUGUUUAAAACACCCUAAAUUGUAUUAACAUUUACUUUAUAACCAUUAUUUUUUUGCUAAUAAACAUCUAAAUAAAUACAACUCUAUGGAAAUGAAUUAGCCUAUUUAUUAUCUCCGUGAGCGAUCACUAUUAUUAACAUUAUCCAGUGAAUUAUUAUUAACUCUGUAGCUAUUAAACGGCUUAUAAACCUGCUAAAACUGUAGUUUAAAAUGAAGUUGAUAUGACUCCUGUCAUUUAUUUAUUUUCUCCAUCCUACAUUUAUUUUGUUUAUUGUUAGUAGUGUUGUUGCCGUUGAUGCUUUUUUAUAAAUAAAAUGUGUUUUACUGUUGUAAUAUGAAGAUUAAAUUUAACAUGAAAGACUGCAAAUUUUUAACACUUUUUUUUAAAAAGAUGACUGAAAAGAGGAAAAAACUAAAUGAAGUAUGUUCUUACUUCACUCAGUCAAUUAUGUACUUCACAACAGUAAAUAAAUAUCGGUUCUGCAUAUCGAUUAUCGGGCAAACAUGCAAAUAAUUGGUAUUGGUUAUAAAACAAUUAAUAUCGGUCGAUCACUAAUAAUAAUAAUAAUAAUAAAACAGGCCUACACCAAAUUAGUUUCAGUUAAAUACUUAACGAAUUAACAUAACAAAAGGAACAAAAAAUAGAAAAGAAGUGUUUUGUUUAAUCUUUACAGCUGCACCACAAGUUUGAGGAAACAGAGGCGGCUGAAAGCGCAUACUGUUUGCUUACCAAAUAUCACAGAUUAUUUAAUUUUUUCCUGCAGUGAUAUGGAAAAUAUCUGUGAUCACGCCGGAGCCUCUCACGCACACAACAUAUCAUUUAUAGCACUGCUAGCUGUUUAUAGGCCUGUGUUAUUAACAAUGAAUGCCGUUAUAAUUUGUGUUUUAUUUUAUAAUUAUACACUACCAGUCAAACAGUUUUG